rnacentral:lncRNA from 1 species
AGCACAGGAAGUUGGUGGGCAGAACCUUCAGUCAGACAGGUUGUGAGGGGGAGAACUGUGGCUGGAGGACAGGAAGCAGGUGUUCAGAAAUAGCUCUUUCUGCCCAAGGCUCUGCGCAAGGCCCGUCCACGUGAAGGGAAGGAGGGUCAGGUUGGCCGGGGCUCUUUCGGGUCUUGCAGGCGCUUUCCCCACGUUCUCGCCCUCCGCGCUAGGCGGAAGGUGAGGGAUGGGCCUGGCAGCCUGGCUGCGCCUGGUCGGCAUGCUGUGGCAGGUAGCAGCUGCCGUGGAAGUGACGCCCUGGAGGAGAAUCCGCGUCUGCGGCCGCGACGGCGGCCGCCGGCAGGGAUUCACCGAGCAAAGGUCGCCUUGGCUUCCGGAGGCCAGAGGAGCCCCGGCCUUCUCCUGGGGGGCCGGCGGGGGACCUCGCCUCCAAGCGGAAGAUGGCGUUUGGUUAGGUCAGGAACCAUUGGGCCCCUCCCUUCCAUGGACAUCCUGCAAGUGUUGUGAAUUCAUUUGGCUUUCUGCUCAGGCUGCCUAG